rnacentral:rRNA from 1 species
UACGGGAGGCAGCAGGGAGGAAUAUUGGUCAAUGGGUGCAAGCCUGAACCAGCCAUCCCGCGUGAAGGACGACUGCCCUAUGGGUUGUAAACUUCUUUUGUAUAGGGAUAAACCUACCCUCGUGAGGGUAGCUGAAGGUACUAUACGAAUAAGCACCGGCUAACUCCGUGCCAGCAGCCGCGGUAAUACGGAGGGUGCAAGCGUUAUCCGGAUUUAUUGGGUUUAAAGGGUCCGUAGGCGGACUUAUAAGUCAGUGGUGAAAGCCUGUCGCUUAACGAUAGAACUGCCAUUGAUACUGUAAGUCUUGAGUAUAUUUUGAGGUAGCUGGAAUAAGUAGUGUAGCGGUGAAAUGCAUAGAUAUUACUUAGAACACCAAUUGCGAAAGGCAGGUUACCAAGAUAUAAACUGACGCUGAGGGGACGAAAGCGUGGGGAGCGAACAGGGAUUAGAUACC